CAGUCGCCGCGGGAAUACGUAGGGCGCAAGCGUUAAUCGGAAUUACUGGGCGUAAAGCGUGCGCAGGCGGUUCGCUAAGACAGAUGUGAAAUCCCCGGGCUUAACCUGGGAACUGCAUUUGUGACUGGCAAGCUAGAGUGUGGCAGAGGGGGGUGGAAUUCCGCGUGUAGCAGUGAAAUGCGUAGAUAUGCGGAGGAACACCGAUGGCGAAGGCAGCCCCCUGGGCCAACACUGACGCUCAUGCACGAAAGCGUGGGGAGCAAACAGGAUUAGAUACCCGCGUAGUCCCUGUCUCUUAUAA
rnacentral:rRNA from 1 species